GACGAACGCUGGCGGCGUGCCUAAUACAUGCAAGUCGAACGCAGUGGGGACGGGUGAGUAACACGUGGGUAACCUCCCAUCAGAGGGGAUAACACUUGGAAACAGGUGCUAAACCGAUACUGAUGGAUGGACCCGCGGUGCAUUAGCUAGUUGGUGAGGUAACGGCUCACCAAGGCCACGAUGCAUAGGCGACCUGGCAGGGUGAUGGGGCACACUGGGGCUGAGACACGGCCCAGACUCCUACGCGGGGCGGCAGUAGGGAAUCUGCGGCAAUGGAGGAAAGUCUGACAGUGAAGCGCCGCGUGAGGGAAGGAGGUUUUCGGGUCGUAAAACUCUGGUGUUGGAGAAGCGGUAUCUAACCAGAAAGCCACGGCUAACUACGUGCCAGCAGCCGCGGUAAUAC
rnacentral:rRNA from 1 species